rnacentral:lncRNA from 1 species
CACCGGUUGGCUGGAACUGAAAGCUGCACAGAUUGGCUCGGAGGACUGAACCCGUCUCUUCUCUCUUUGUUGCUUCUGCCAAAUGCCAUUAGAGAGCAAUCAUAUCUGUUCUGACUGAUGGGACAGCUAACAAGUAGAUGCAUUGUCAGUAGAUCACUGGUGCCUUGGAAAUUACAUACAUGCAAGUCUACGUCAAUCAAAUGGAUCCGUAUUGUUGCCUCCUUUGAAGUUUUCAAAGAGAUCCUUUACAGAGAAGAAAGC